rnacentral:lncRNA from 1 species
CCUAUAUCAUGAAAACUCAUAAUACGUAGUUACGCACGUCACUUGCUUAUAAGAGCCUGAGAUAAAAUUAGCCCAUUUUAAUUUAUUUUCUAUCUUUAUUAUUUAUAUUGUCCAUUUAAAAUUUUUAUUUUGUUCCAAAACAUUUCAUUAAGUGGCAACAAAAAUCCUAAUAAAUACCUUCCAAAAGGCAAUUAGUUCUAAUUAGGUCGUCGUGUGAUGUGACAGAGGGAGCUUGGUUUUCAGUUUGAUUUCAGAAGCAGUGCCAUUGAACUCUUGCUCUGCCGCAUGCUUGUGCACCUUAAAUCUCAGUCACCUAAAUAAGCAAAUGGAGAUAAUAAUACACACCAGGCUGUGUUUCUCAGAUGUAAAAUAAGGAAUGUAGGUAAAAUGCUUGGCAGAGCAAAAGAGUCCAGUCCAAUAAAGGUGUAUUUUAUUGUGACUAAAAUAAACAUAGCGUGUCAUUUUCAUCACCCCUCUCUCCCUGCUAACAGUGGGUUUGAAGGGACUCCAGUUGAAGUUAUCCGUCCCUGGUGUAUGACCUUCCCAAGGGGAAGGGGUAAGCAAUUCAACUGCCGUUUCCGUAUUAUUAUUCUUUAAAUUCAACAGUUGCAAUACGGUGUUUUUCUCUCUUAGUGAGGAGCAGAUUUAUGUUUGACUUUACCUGUGAACUUUCGUUCCUUUGGUCUAUCUUCUGAAACCAUGAACAGAAGAAUAUAAAUGAAAAGAUUCCUUUGUUUGCCCCCAUUGUGUGGGUGAUGAUGAUAAUAACUUUUAUUUUUACCUAAAAGCUAAUAAUUAAAAGCGAUGCUUUCAUAUCAUUGUUCUUAACGAUUUUUGAAUAUUAAAAAUGCCUUGCUUUCCUACUACUUGAACAUUUAUUUGUGAUUAUGAUCAGAUAUGCAAAUCAUGAUUUCCGAGCUCCAUUUCUCUCUUUUCUCAACCAUCAAAGCCAUUGUCGUCCUGAGGCAUAGCUCAGAUGCCAACUCCUCCUUAAAUCUUUCUUUUUUAUCUCCCCAUCAAAGAAAUAGUCUUAAUCUUACCAUCCAUAUCACAUUAAUUGCAUUUCAAGCUAGUAUUUAAUGAAUUACCAUUUUUUUUCAUCCACACAAAUAAUUCUUAUUGGGCACCUUUAUUUCAGGCACUUUGCUGACUCCUCAGUUGUCAUUAAGUAGAAACAAUUAUUGUCCUCCUGUGUGAAGUGUAACUGGAGGCAGGGGAGAUAUGCAGUGUAAUAUGCAAAAUUUCAGAUAAAUAUGCAGUGUAUAUGCAAACUAUACAGAUAAAUGCGCUGUAAUAGAUGAAUUAAUAGCAUCGUAUGAAGUAAGACCCAUCACCUGAAAAGGUCACAGGAGCUUUGGGGAGGAAGUCACAAUCUAGGCUCAAGUUCAAAGAUAGAUGAGGGUUGGGCAGGUGAAGGGAUCGGAGUAGAAAUAGCGGUUCAGGUAGAAUAAACUGUGCAAGCAAAAUCCUGAGGAUAGGGAGAAAGUGAGGGACAUUUGUGGAAUAAAACUAAGACUGCAGAGGAGUUGACGUUUGGCUGAUAGAGGGGAUGGCAUACACUUGGGGAGGAAAUGUGGAUGAAGAGCUAAGCUAGGGGAAAAAAUGCAUGCAUUUUCUUAAAGAGUUCGCAUGGUAUCCAGAGGGCAAAAGCACAAUUACACCAGUGGGGGUAAAAGUGUUUUAUGUUCAGAUUUAUCUUUUGGGGAGGACAGAUCAGAGAGAACCACUUGUGUGUUAGGAAGACCAAUGACAGAGCUCUUGUAAUCCAGACAAGAGGCAGUGAUGGGAGUGUUGGGGAUACAGAAUGACCUGGUCAAGUGAAGUGGGUGUAGAAGGAACUGAUCAAUUUGGUUCAUAGAAGGAAGAACGCCUAGAACUUGGGAAUUAGAAGGUAGAGGAAAGCAGGAUUCGGACUUAAGGAUUUGAGUAAAUGGAAGUAUCAUUUAUAAGGUAAGGAACCAGAAAAAGACAAAAAAUUGAGGAAUGUAGAUUUUUACUUUACAGAAACAUUGGUCUCUGCCAGAGGCUACCACAGGCAGUGGGUCCUGCCUCGCAUGUGGCCUUCCUAAGUUCCGAGGACAAAAGUGGUAUUUUCAGUGAUACCUGCAGUGUAGCUCAUUUCAAAACAUAUUAGGGUAUUUUACACACUGUAAAUGAUCAAUAAGAUUUACCCUUUGAUGCUUGUUUUCUGUGUUAAAUAGGAAAAUAAGCAAUGAAUAAUUGUGGAGAAACUAUUGAUAAUUUAUACGUAAAAAUAUAUUUACUUAUAGAGUGUUAUAGUUAUUUCCUUUGGAGCAAGCAUUUAUUCCAAUAUUGGAAAUAUAGAAAAAUUCCAAAAAUAUUGGAAAUAGAAAAUAGUUACUAUAUAUAAAAUGUAUGAUACUAUAAUACUAUUUUAUAUGUUUUGAUAGAUUUUGGCACUGUCAUAUAUCGAUAUACUUAUUUCAUAAUGAUAAAAUGAUUCUAAUAUUUAUACUUGUCAGAGUAGUAUAGGUUACAUUAAACUAUUUGGGAGAAUGUGGCUUUUAAAUUAACACAAUCACUUUGGGAAUUGGAGAUUUUAUUUUGACGAUUCAACUUUUUAAGUUUAUAAUUCUCAGUAUUAGUGAUUAUGAAUACUUAAGGAAGUGUUUUAUACAGGAAGGCAGUAGAUAUAUGUGUUUACUAGUCUCUUAGCUUUUCUUUGGGUUUUACAUUUUUUCCUGAAUAAAAGGAAAAGUUAUUUGACACGGUUAUUUAGGAAACUUCUUUGCAUUUGCAAAAAUGCAAGUGGAUUUUAUUCCCUAAGAAAAUAUUGUAGAUGUGUUAGCUGCAAAAAGCAGUCCAAAUGCAAAUGUGAAAGAAGAAACCAUAUAACAUGCAAUGUUAAUUGUUUCACAGGUAGGAAUCAUUAGCAUUGAAUCACCAGCUAGGUAUUGGGUCAUGAGAUAAUCUGAUUUCCUUGAUGAACCUGUAAGAUGUGACCCCCAAAUAUAAGGGGUAUUAAGCCUAUGUCAGUGAUUCCUUCUCUCCUUUUUAAUCUUUGUAGUUUCCACUGUACCAGAAAUGCAUUAAUGUGAUAGGACAUGUCAUAGAUUUCAAAAUUUUAUGAAUUUCAGGUUCACAUGAUAUGUCAAUAAUUUAGAUAGAAGGAAUGCACGGCCAUCCUGGAAUAGGGUUACAGAGAGCUAGUGAGGAGGAAUAAUUAUUAUAUAUUAGAAUUUAUUGUGUAAUGUUCUGCAUAUGUAUUAUAUAUUAUAUGUAUUAGUGUAUAUUACUACAUAUGUGACAUCCUUUUGGUGUGUUUCCUUCUGCACAUAUUUUUAAGGCCAUUGGGGGAUUGCAAGUAAUAAUAUUGCAUGAGUUUAAUCAUAUUCCCAUUGAAUCUUAUUCUGUGAGAAAUAAUUUGCUAGAAGAGUAGGCCAUGGCCUAAAUAUAUUUUUUAUUGUUUAUUUAUUUUUAAAUUAAGAUACAGUCGAUUUACGAUGUUGUGCCAAUUCCUGCUGUACAGCAUGGUGACUCAGUCCUACUGUCAUACUAUCUCAUGCUAUCUUCCACCAUGUCUUAUCCCAAGAGACUGGAUAUAGUUCCCUGUGCUGGGCAGCAGGACCUCCUGGCUAUAUUUUUAAACAGUGUGAUGUUUCAGUAUUUUUGCUGCAUUUAUGAGAAGAAAAACGUGAUCAAUACCCCUAUUUAAUUAAAAACCACUAUUUAAUAUGAACCAAAAUUUUUGUUUUGUUUUCCAUGUCCUGUUUUUGGAUCUUCAGUCUCUUUUAUACUUCAUAAAAUACACCCUUACAUGUUCUGGAAAAUAUCGUGCAUUGAUAUUUUUAUUUCCUUAGCUCUUCUCUUAGGCACUUAUUUAGGAAUAGUGAAUUCCAGAUCAUUUUGCACUAUCCCUGCAGACCAGGUUAGUUUAAUAAUUUUUCCUUGUUUUCAUUGUACCUUAUGAUUUCUUUUCUUUCUCAGUACCUCUGAGUAUAACAGUUUAUGUCUUUAGUGACCUCCAAAUGUCCUCAGAGGAACCCUAUUCAUUACUUUUGUCAUGGGUAGGUUACCCUAAAUUUAUCGUAUUAUGAAGAUAUUCAGUAAUAAUUGUAAAAUUAGUAGUCCUGUAAAGGGUGAUUCAAAUGUGCAUUUACCUGCUUUUGUAAGUGACGAGGUUAAUGAAGAAUUUUGUUCAUGAAUAUUGAGCCUAAAGGCUACUCGUCCUGAGGAUCUUUGGACCUACAGACGUUAACAUGUUGGCGUAUUUUAGCACCACUUUUCUUUUUGUUUCGUAACUCUUCAAAGUUAUUUCUCAGUGAAGGCUUCAGUAAAACUGUCGGGUAUCAUAGUUUGGUUACCGUACGUCUCUUUAAAAAGACCUUAUCAUAAAGUGACGUCAGUAGGUCCCUCAAAUUAAUUUAAAUUUGAACAGGAUUGUUGUUCCCAUGGGCUAAUGAACGGUUCUUUCGGGAAAACUAAUUUCUGAACAGAUAUAGGAGCAUGUACCCAUAUCAGGAGCUGAAGAAACAGAUAAUUAAAACAUGACUCUAACAUUUUUAGGUAUUUCCCCUGCACGCAAUUUAAGAUAAUUUUGCCAUCUUCCUAUAUGUUAAGGUUAGGGAAUAUCAAGACCAUAAACCAUCUUCGACAUGUACGGUAAAUAAAAUAAUAAAAUCAGUGGUUCUGGGUAAUCCCACAUUGAAAUACUACGGAAUUUUAGAAUAAGACCUUAAAGGCCAUACAAGUCAAUCGGAUGUUACUUUUUAGUUUAAUUUUUAAAUUUUUUAAUAUUUUUAUUAACGUGCAAUGAUUUACAGUGUUGUGCCCACUUCUGCUAUACAGUAUAGUUAUCCAGUCAUACAUGUAGAUACAUUCUUUCAUAUUCUACUUUUAUAACACACUGUGUCUUAGAAAAUCAUGUGCUUGACCAUAAAGAGUUGGACUGACUUUUACGACAUAAUAACAUGAUUUCUUAUGAGUAUGCAGUAUGCUUUGAAAUACUCCUUGUGUCCUGACUACAUGCUAAGUACCUUUCUAGGUGCUUUACAUAAGAAAGUAUAACUUUUUGGUAGCAAAUUUUUGCUAGAGUGAAAAUAUUUUAUCAGCAGAAUAAAAAUCUGUGUUUCACAAAGCCAAGAGAGACUUAUUAGUCAGAGAGGGAUUAUGCCAUACCAUUACACAGAAUAAUAAUUCUUAGUUUAGGAAUGAAAAUGAAAUGUGUUUUUAAGUAAAUGACUUAGCUCCCCCGUAAGAAAAACAGUAUGUGUAAAAUAUCUCUUUUCUUCAUCACAACUGGAGGUUAUGAUCUGAAUCAUUUGACAGUGCUACACCUAUGCAAAUAAUUGAUGGAAAUCCAGGAUUGCCUAAUUCCUAAUCCAGAAUAUUUCUAUUAUAUGAUAUUGUCCUUUUUUAGGAUAAAUCAUUUUUUAAAAUAUCUUCACUUGUAAGACAACCUAUGUUGCUUACAGACAAGGGCAUUUUUUUAAUCAUCGUGUUUUUAAAUCACCACAUGAACAAUUCAUGAUUGGGGCAAAUCCCAUAUAGUGUGUGAGUAUUAGUCCUUUUAAUUGUGUGGUGGGUAAGACGGCAAGUCAGAUGGCCUAGGUCAGUCAUAUUGUAUAACUGUCUUGAUUUACUUCUUAGUUGCAAAAUUAUUACUGCAUGCCUCUCAUAUUGAAAUCAUUUAGGAUUAAGUUAAGGUUAUAAGUAAAAGCAAAUUAAAAUGAUCAAUUGCCUUUACCAAACUGCAGAGAAAUAGAGCAACUAUUAUAGUGAAAACAUUUUGUUUAAUACUGUGCAUUUCCAUUGCUUCCUAAAGAGAUUUUGCUGAUUAAGAAUGCUCACAACCAAAAUUUUCUCACUAGUCAGAAAUUACAUACUUUAGUAGUACUAUGUGUUAUAAAUAAUGAUAUUGAAAAAGAUUGGUGAGAUGGAAAGUAAUAUUAACCUCAAGUAUCUGUAGAAUAUUUUACGUAUCAUAUAGACAUUACAUUGGCUGCUUUGUGUGAAGUCGUUCCUACUAUACUACUGUGAAGUGACAUCUCUUGUUACUUUAUUUUUGAAUGCCUAUAAAAUUAAUGUAUGUGUUUUCAUAGUUUAUGUAUAAUCUACAUUGUCUUUGUGUGUAUAUGCAUUUUGUAGGUAUGUUUAUUUUUCUUGUGAAUAAGAUUUAAUAAGUUUUAAAUCUCUUAAAGGUCCUAAAAUAAUUUAAUUAUGAUUCUGUUUAAAUAAUCAGGGGAGUUUGUCCUUAAGAGAAUAAU